CCAUUCUUCGUCCUCCUGUAUGGAAGAAAAGAUCCAUAUUAGUAUAACUGUAUUGUCAGCAUUGUAAUAAAUAUAGGACAAGAUAAAUGACUAGUAAUUA